rnacentral:rRNA from 1 species
GAUGAACGCUGACAGCAUGCUUAACACAUGCAAGUCCACUUGAACUUCGGUUUGGGUGGCGGACGGGUGAGUAACGCGUAAAGAACUUGCCUCACAGAUAGGGACAACAUUUGGAAACGAAUGCUAAUACCUGAUAUUAUGAUUAUAUGGCAUCGUAUAAUUAUGAAAGCUAUAUGCGCUGUGAGAGAGCUUUGCGUCCCAUUAGCUAGUUGGAGAGGUAACGGCCCACCAAGGCGAUGAUGGGUAGCCGGCCUGAGAGGGUGAUCGGCCACAAGGGGACUGAGACACGGCCCUUACUCCUACGGGAGGCAGCAGUGGGGAAUAUUGGACAAUGGACCAAGAGUCUGAUCCAGCAAUUCUGUGUGCACGAUGAAGUUUUUCGGAAUGUAAAGUGCUUUCAGUUGGGAAGAAAAAAAUGACGGUACCAACAGAAGAAGUGACGGCUAAAUACGUG